CCAAAGGCUCUUUUCAGAGCCACUCAUCUAUUCUUUAAAGAGAGCU
rfam:Cricetulus griseus cell line CHO-K1, whole genome shotgun sequence.